GUGCAACUUUUCAGCGCCAUCUAGUAACUGUUCUUUUGUAUGUCCAACUGACAUUUAAAUAGGCAAAUUUUAUUAAAAAAUAGCUAUGAUUGAUUUUCGGUUAAUUGCAGUUUCUUUGUUCAAAAUUACGUCUUUGCCUACAGGUUACGCAAGAUUUUCAAUUAUAAAUCUUUGUAUAUAUUAUGGACAAGUAUACAUAAGUGCGUAUUUAUAAGAAAUUUGCAGUGCUUGUCUCCACAAAUAAUAGAAACAACACACAGUAGGCAUUUAUGUAUGCAACUAAAUCCAAAGCAUGUAUCUGGGCCAUAUCACGACCUAUCAACUCUCCAAAGGCUACAUAUUAGAUGGCUACUCAAACAAGUCAAUGUUAAACCCCAAAAUAUAUUUUUAACCCGAACAGUUUUUAACACAAAAAUCUCAACCAUUCAGAGGUGGUUGUACAUACAAAGGUGCAAGUACUACAGAAUGCAGAAAAUAAAUCGGAUAUGCCGGCUAAUGGAUUUCAAAUGUAAAACAAUGUUUGAGUUCAAAAGCCAAUUUGAAGGUUAGCGCGAAAUAGGAAACUACGUAGACAAAAAAUGCACAAUCACCAGCAGACAAACGCAAAAGAAUGCAUACUACAAUACCACCAGACAAAAUAUUGUACAAUACGAAAAAAGAACAAAAAAGGAAAAAAAACAAAGAACAAAUUUGAAACAUUUUGUAAUUGCGAUACCUUUCAUUUAACUUAUAUGCAUUAAAUUAAUAAAGCAUUCAUUGAAUGAGCAUAAAUAAAUUGUUAUAUUUCAUUCUUUCAUGCAUUAAGCAGAUACAUCAAUCGCAAUUUGACAGCCAAGCUUUGGAAAAAGUGACAGUAGGAAUGCUUUAAUGUCAUUAUGAAAUACAGCAAGUAGCCAGCAAAAAACAGUAAAAUGGAUAUAAGAAAUAUUAUGAGAUUGUCGAUUCGCAAUUAAGAUUUUACUUAGAUACUACCGAGAUUUUACUUUGUGUUCUGCGGUUUUAUGCCAUUAAUUGACUUCGCGCACACAAAAUGAUUAAUAAAUGUUUCCAUACACAUUAUGUGGUUGACAUAAAUGUAUAAAAUGUUCCCAU
rnacentral:lncRNA from 1 species